UCUGCCACCGUGCCUUCUCUGCUGUGAUAGGCUAUGCCCUCAAACCAUAAGCCAAGAGGAACCAUUCUUCCCCUAAGUUGCUUUUUACCAAGCAUUUUGUUAUGGCAAUGGAUGCAGAUAUGUCCAUCAGCUUUUUCUGGCCAAAUUUGUGGGGCUGUGAUUUGGAAGCAAAUUAUCCAAGAGACUGGCAGAACAUGGAGGCAAACUGGUUGCAGGUUGGGAGUGGCCAACAUGAGGUGUUUCUGGGAUUGAAAGUGCUGGAGAAAUGCCUGCUCCAUUUUAUUCACUGUGAAGUGCUCCCCACGUUCAAGUGACUUCAGUCUCCUUCAGAAAUGCCUGCCCAUUCCUCACUAUGAAGUGCUCCCCACGAUCUGACAAGAACAGGAAUGCUCUGCCGUGAAGCAUGUGCUGUCCCCACUCUCCAGCAAGGAUGGAGACAAAAAGAGCAAACAGCACACGCAUUGUUUUUAAUAUCUUGAGAGCUGUGUAUGCCUCCAAAUUGAUAGGAUGCUUGCUCAACUUUCCAUUUCCUGUGUGAAUUCAUUCUCAGAUUGGAAGCAACUUCAUUACCAACA